CCUAUGGGGUGCAGCAGGCGCGAAACCUCCGCAAUGUGAGAAAUCGCGACGGGGGGAUCCCAAGUGCCAUUCUUAACGGGAUGGCUUUUCUUAAGUGUAAAAAGCUUUUGGAAUAAGAGCUGGGCAAGACCGGUGCCAGCCGCCGCGGUAACACCGGCAGCUCUAGUGGUAGCUGUUUUUAUUGGGCCUAAAGCGUUCGUAGCCGGUUUGAUAAGUCACUGGUGAAAUCCUGUAGCUUAACUGUGGGAAUUGCUGGUGAUACUGUUGAACUUGAGGUCGGGAGAGGUUAGCGGUACUCCCAGGGUAGAGGUGAAAUCCUGUAAUCCUGGGAGGACCACCUGUGGCGAAGGCGGCUAACUGGAACGAACCUGACGGUGAGGGACGAAAGCUAGGGGCGCGAACCGGAUUAGAUACCCCCGUAGUCC
rnacentral:rRNA from 1 species